GGCCAGCAUCGGUUUGGGCGGUAGGAUAAUGACUAAGGAAUGUGACUUGCCUUCGGGGAAGUGUUAUAGCCUUNGUUGAUACUGCCAGCCUNGACUGAGGACCGCGUCUUUGACGAAGGAUGUUGGCAUAAU
rnacentral:rRNA from 1 species